UAGGGAAUCUUCCGCAAUGGACGAAAGUCUGACGGAGCAACGCCGCGUGAGUGAUGAAGGCUUUCGGGUCGUAAAACUCUGUUGUUAGGGAAGAACAAGUACGAGAGUAACUGCUCGUACCUUGACGGUACCUAACCAGAAAGCCACGGCUAACUACGUGCCAGCAGCCGCGGUAAUACGUAGGUGGCAAGCGUUAUCCGGAAUUAUUGGGCGUAAAGCGCGCGCAGGCGGUUUCUUAAGUCUGAUGUGAAAGCCCACGGCUCAACCGUGGAGGGUCAUUGGAAACUGGGGAACUUGAGUGCAGAAGAGAAAAGCGGAAUUCCACGUGUAGCGGUGAAAUGCGUAGAGAUGUGGAGGAACACCAGUGGCGAAGGCGGCUUUUUGGUCA
rnacentral:rRNA from 1 species